AACGCACGAGACCUGCGGACCUGCGGAGGGAUCAUUAGUGAACGCCCUCACGGGCUUAUAACUGUUCCAAACCUCUGUGAACCGUGCCCUUCGGGGCUAUUUUACAAACAUGGUGUAAUGAACGUCAUAUAUCAUAACAAAACAAAACUUUUAACAAUGGAUCUCU
rnacentral:misc_RNA from 1 species